AACUCCGUGGUUCUCUGAAAGA
rnacentral:miRNA from 1 species